GUUGGAUCACGUAUUUCAGCUGCCCACUUACCCCAAGGACGUUGUCUGAUCCCCCGGUAUUGAUUCUUCCUCUUUCUCUUGGAGGAUUUGUCAGCAUUGCAGCUUGAAUCAUCAGAUUUCACAGAUUUGGAGCCUUUUGGGGGAAAAAAAAUCAAUUAAGCAUACCAGUCAUCAUAAGAGCACCAAAUUUUGCAACAAUCAAUCAAAUAAAAUGAUAAACAGAUAAAAAGAAACUCUGAAACAUAGAGCACUCGCUACACAGAGCAUGAUCUCUGAUAUCACUUGUACUAUAUUACCAAAAUCAAAUUCUUCAAAUAGUUUUUUCUUGGGAAUCAUGAGUAAAACUAAAAAAUCAAAAAUUUAUUCUUUCUGCUGUCGCUUGUGCCAGAUUACUUGCGCAUACCAGCUUCCAUCAAUGUAUGCACGUUUAUUUUUCUAUUUGCAUCACGUAGCAAAUCUUCUAGUGAUAGAAGGUUCAUCAUCUAGAGAAUCAGGGUUCAUCAUUUAGAAAUCUGCUAAAUGACCCAAUUGGGUCCUAAUGGGAAUUUAUGAUCCAAAAUUCCAAACAAUUAUAUUGCUUGAAAUCGUGGUUUAUCUUAUCCAAUAUAUUCGUAAUGAGCUAGGAAAUUAUUUAGUUCGGUGCUAACAAACCCUCUGAUCAGAUAAAAACCGAGACUGCAGGAAACUUUAAGGAGGCCCAAAGAUCUAAUUUUGUUUCCACACCAACCAUAGUCAACAACUUCACAAAUUACAACUACUUUUGGGUCUUGCUUUGUCCUCGGGUUAAUAAGGAAGAAAAAUAGCAACCUUUCUCCUCUUUUUACACUUCACAAACAUCCUAUUGCCAAAAAUUAUCGUCUUUUCUCCUCUUAUAUGAACACCCACAUACUAAAUGGUAAAUAAUUUACCCACAAUUAAAAAAAAUAAUUUAACCCCAAUUCACCUAACUUCAGCAUUUUCAUCACAAAGGUAAAUCUCACUCCAGACACAAACAAACACCAAAAACCGCACAACAUGUAUAGUAAGGUUUUCAAAGCUAAAGUUUAACCCCGGAAGCGGUAAAAAAGACCAGUAAAAGAGAAAUUACCGUGGAAAGCGAAGGCCUUGACUUCAUCAACAUCGUCGGCGUAAUCCUUGAAGUCCUGAAAGUCAGCUUCAAAUUCAUCAUCAAGUUCAAAGAACUUAGACCUCAACGGCUUUGAGUGGUAAUUGCUAGGGUUUUUCUUCUUCUUACUCAGAUCGGAGGUACCCCAUAGCAAGUCGGCGGUAAGCCGGCGUGACGUCCGGCUAGGAGGUACUAAAUCGGAGAGAAUCGCACCACCACACAUGAAUUUCUAGUUUACUAGUAUCAGAGGAAUAUUAAUCUAGAGAAAAAUUGAAUGGGAGAG
rnacentral:lncRNA from 1 species